ensembl:lncRNA
AUGCCAAUAUGCCCACACAGCAGAGCUGGAGUCCUUUUGGCAGCACACUGCAUUGCAAGUGAAGAAUACUUGAGGAAAAUUUCUUCUGUCUUUGCUCAGGAAAACAACAAAAUUUUGGAAAAGUAUGUACUGUGUGAAGAACGGGACCUAAUGCUUUAUCAGUGUCUGAAAUUAAGCAUGAAUCAACAAGAAGAUGGAAUUAAAGAUGCUCCCAUAUUUUGCCAGGGAGAAUAUAUGCUGGAAGAGUUUAAUUUAUUUUGCUUUCUGCUGUGCCUACACCUGACCAACCAAAGCAGCUUCAAGAGGGUCCCACCGAUCUCUGCUGUUUAACCCCUGUGUCUCUUCCUAUGGCUUUCCAAAGGAGACUGCAGUCCUUUGCCAGAGCUCUGUAGAUAGAGCAGUAAGGGAAUGCCCUUCCUGUUGCCCCCGAAUCUGAUAGCACAUCCACUGAUGCAUUCAUAUUCUUUUCAAAGGGAUGAGAAGCAUCGAGAGGAACCUGGCAUUUAUGGUGGGGAGUGCUCUCUGUUCAGCAACAUUUAAAUCUUAUUCAUAUCCUUUUACGGCCGUAGUUUCUCAUUGUCAGUUUCAUAGAUUGCAGUUGUUUUGCUUUAAAAAUCUGACAGCAUUAUUUCCAACAGGCAGAAAUAAUAAUAUAUCACUGAGCAAUGCUGAUGAACAAUAAUAAUGUGUUCCUUUUUAUUAGUGUUUUCUAUCUGAAUCCAGAUGUUUUCUGUGGUCCCUGUAGGCAAAAUGCUGUCUGUGAGAAACACCCUGCUGGCUGUCACAAUGCAAUGUUAUCUUGUGAAUAGUUCCUUAAAUAUCUGCAAGGUCAGAGAGAUUAAAUGUUCUCCUGGGAAAUGCAGGAAAAGUAGAAUGUCAGCAUCACCUUUCAUCCCAGUGAAAAGUUAAAUGACAUUUCCAGUGAUAUUGAUUAGAGCAUCUUUGAGUGUCAAAACAGAAUGGUGAUUUCAAUAUCUGCAAUGAAAUGCAGAGGCUGAAGCCGGAGACUCUGAGAGAAGACAGUAUUCAAUUUCAGAAGAAGUUUAAGACUGGGAAUUAGAAAAUCUCUUUCCUCAUGCAGACUGGGGCUCAUCUUUGGGAGCUGGGAUUUUCUCCGUUUCUGUAGGUGAAACUGUGGGCUGAGGGAGCCACUUGCUACCUGAGGUACCUUAGGUCACAGAAUCAUAGAACGGUUGGAGCUGGAAGCAACCUUUAAAGGUCAUCUAGCUCACCUCCCCUGCACUGAACAGGGACAUCUACAGCUAGAUGUAGAUGUACACAUCUGCCUUCUCCCCUUACUGGUCUGCAGACUGUUGUGCUGGGAAGAGCACUCCAUUGGGAAUGCUCCUGUGCUGCAAGGUCAAGAAGGACACUCCAAAGUGUUUGUGGAAGUUGGUGUAUGCCAUGUGAGACAAGUCAUUCCCAGAAACCUGGAUCUGUGGCUGGCAACACAGGCCAACAGCUAUUGCAUUACUGAGCAGACUUCUGAAUAUUGUGUACAAUAUUGCCAGUUUUACUGACUCAGGAGUUUGUAUGGAAGGAAGGGCACUGACUCUCUCUCGGCCGGUUAACACAUAAUUUCUGUCACAUCAUGUAUUUCCUACUGAGAAUAUUCCUAACAAUUUUGCAUUAAAGGGAGUGGCAAAAAGAAAAAUGACCAAAGAAUCUAGAAAUGGGGAAGAAAAGGCAAUUAAGAAUGGCAGAAUUUCUUCCAUGGUAUACUGACCCUUGGUUGCACUGUGGCCUGGUUAGAUACCCCAACUCCUGUUGCAGAUUCCCUGGCCAAGAAUCCAGCCUGUUAUUUUUUUAUUUUUUUUCCUGAGGAGAUCAGAAAAGUACUGAAAUAGGGAGUUAUGGAAGGACUGUUUUAACUUGCAGAACUGCAGAGCUGAGGUUUUGGCACUAGAAAUGGUGUGGGUUUUCUUCUAAUUUUUCUGAUGACUCAAAGUGAUGAUGCUAGAAAAGGAAAGCUAGAGAAGAAUAGAAAAAAGAGACUCUGAAACAAGGCUGAGGAGAGCACUAUUUAAAGAGUGCACUGAGUGUGCCCUUACCCUACAAUUAAUACAAAUGUAUAUUAUUCUUUUGAAAUACAUUUCAUGCUGCAAUUUUAAAGCAGUAAAAUUGAAACAAGUACAUUUAACAAUUCAAAGAAACCAUGUUCACUUUCUAACUCGUUACAACUCAAUUUGACUUCAUUACUAAUAACGUAAUAAAAUCUUAAUUAAUGUUCUGAUUUUUUGAGUA